GACGAACGCUGGCGGCGUGCCUAAUACAUGCAAGUCGACCGCUUUUUCUUUCACCGGAGCUUGCUCCACCGUAAGAAAAAGAGUGGCGAACGGGUGAGUAACCCGUGGGUAACCUGCCCAUCAGAAGGGGAUAACACUUAGAAACAGGUGCUAAUACCGGAUAACACUAUUUUCCGCAUGGCAGAAAGUUGAAAGGCGCUUUUGCGUCACUGAUGGAUGGACCCGCGGUGCAGUAGCUAGUUGGUGAGGUAACGGCUCACCAAGGCAACGACGCAUAGCCGACCUGAGAGGGUGAUCGGCCACACUGGGACUGAGACACGGCCCAGACUCCUACGGGAGGCAGCAGUAGGGAAUCUUCGGCAAUGGACGAAGGUCUGACCGAGCAACGCCGCGUGAGUGAAGAAGGUUUUCGGAUCGUAAAACUCUGUUGUUAGAGAAGAACAAGGAUGAGAGUAAAAUGUUCAUCCCUUGACGGUAUCUAACCAGAAAGCCACGGCUAACUACGUGCCAGCAGCCGCGGUAA
rnacentral:rRNA from 1 species